rnacentral:ncRNA from 1 species
GUCUAAUAUUGCUGAUGGACUCCCGUGUAUUGUGUGAAAGGCUUGAGGCGUAGCACUUCUGUUAGGACGCCAACUGUGGUGAACUAUGCCUGAGUAGGAUGAAGUCAGGCAAAAGCCUGAUAAAGGCUCGUAGCGGUACAGAGGUGCAUAUCGUCCGUCAAACUUGGAUACAGGGGCGAAAGACUAACCGAACCGUGUAGUAGCUGGUCUCUUCCGAAGUUUCCCUCAGAAUAGCUGGAUUUCAACUAGUUUCAUCAGGUAAAGCGAAUGAUUAGAGGCGUCGGGGGCGCGUCGCCACAUCUCGUGCGCUGCGGUUGCUGCUGCUGAGUUGUUGGUGACGUUGGCGUUAACUCUGUUGCUGUUGCUGCUCCAGGUUAGCAUUAGCGGCAGUAAUCCGCGUAGAAGAUGUAAUAUCAACAGAAGUAGGUGCUGCAGAGCCAACAGCAAUUUUGAGAGGGCGUUGAUGCACUUCAUUUUAGUUAAUGGCCUCAAACCAAUGGCAGACGGCCGUGUUGCUGGCGCUUCCAGAGACAUCAGAAGCCGCCUCAGUAGCAGAUGGUAGAUGGAGCAGGUAGUAAUCCACGAUACGCUCUUCGGCUCUCGACGAAGAGUAUCUGUGGUUCUGUCUCAAUAAAACCCACUAAAAGAAAGACACAGGCGUCUUCCACUCGCUGUAUGGAGGCAAGCUCGCUAGAUCAACGUCUGUACCACGAGUACGCACACUCAACUCAAUCAUGCUGCCGCAGCGAGUUCUUCUCGGGCUUCGAGUAAAGUUGGUAGCCCACGACAGUCACUGGAUAAGGUUGAGCACCAUACUUACACUUGGACCAAACCAUUAAACUAUCAACGUUAAACCAUAGCCCUAGAGCCAUACGACGCUACACCCACAACAUUAAUGAUUUGGUCCAAGUGCAAGUAUCAACAUCACAACAACAAAGCAUCGCGCUUAAACAACAAAACUUUAAGACCUUAACGCAUACACCCUUAAUACUAGACGCC